GACGAACGCUGGCGGCGUGCCUAACACAUGCAAGUCGAGCGGGGGGAGUACUUCGGUACAAACCUAGCGGCGGACGGGUGAGUAACACGUGGGUAACCUGCCUCAAAGUGGGGGAUAGCCUUCCGAAAGGAAGAUUAAUACCGCAUAACCCAUAGCUUCCGCAUGGAAGCAAUGGUAAAGAUUUAUCGCUUUGAGAUGGACCCGCGGCGCAUUAGCUAGUUGGUGAGGUAACGGCUCACCAAGGCCACGAUGCGUAGCCGACCUGAGAGGGUGAUCGGCCACAUUGGAACUGAGACACGGUCCAGACUCCUACGGGAGGCAGCAGUGGGGAAUAUUGCACAAUGGGCGAAAGCCUGAUGCAGCAACGCCGCGUGAGUGAUGAAGGCCUUCGGGUUGUAAAGCUCUGUCUUUUGGGACGAUAAUGACGGUACCAAAGGAGGAAGCCACGGCUAACUACGUGCCAGCAGCCGCAGUAAGAC
rnacentral:rRNA from 1 species